GCUGGUGGAAAUACAAAAUGGUUUUUGCCAUUAUUUUUAUGGCAAAAACUGCAAUUACUUUUGCACCAACCUAAUA
rnacentral:miRNA from 10 species